rnacentral:rRNA from 1 species
CGGAGUAAUGUAUGGGGAUCUGCCUGAUGGCGGGGGAUAACUACUGGAAACGGUAGCUAAUACCGCAUAAUGUCUGCGGACCAAAGCGGGGGACCUCCGGGCCUCGCGCCAUCAGAUGAACCCAUAUGGGAUUAGCUUGUAGGUAAGGUAACGGCUUACCUAGGCGACGAUCCCUAGCUGGUCUGAGAGGAUGAUCAGCCACACUGGGACUGAGACACGGCCCAG